UGUUUAUCACGUUCGCCUAACUAGUAAAACUCUUAUGAGGCCUGACUGGUCACAGGCUAAAUUCCCAGCAUCAGGACAAGAUGCGUCUCCCCAUCGAAAUGGAAUCUAUCACACUGGGAUUUCAACAAGUUUGCCAUAUGGACUGCAACCUGCAAACCGUCAGACCAGCCGCAACCUCCAUCACCACAUCAGUCCCAAUCCAAACCAAGGAAAAACAUGGUUCCUGACUUCAUGGAAGGCACAUCCAUCAGAGAAGACAGACACUAAACAAGUAAACAGUUUUUCUCUGGCACCCGGGACCCAGGCCUUCGCUCCAGCC